rnacentral:lncRNA from 1 species
AACUGUUAGGAUUAUCAUUAAAAUUUAUUAGGAGAGAAAUAGAGACCAAAAGAGAAAGAAUAAACAUGCCAUUGUAUGGCCUCUUGCACCGGCAUCUUCAAUUCCCCAUGCAGUUCUGGUAUUCUCAUCUCAGAAAUAAGACAGUAGAACUGGAGCAUGGCUAACUCAGUUGGGUCUCUUCGGUCUGCAGAUCAUAAUGCAAUUCAGGUUAGAAUGGACCAUGGGAGGUCUCUUCUCCAACCUCCUCCUCAAAGCAGGGUCAGCUCUGAGGUCAGACCAGGUUGCUCAAGAUGUUUUCUAGUCAGGGCUUGAAAAUCUCCAAGAAUGGAGUUUGCACAACCUCCUCGGGCAACCUGCUCCACUGUUUGGUGUUUUCACUGUGAAAAAGUUUGUCUUUAUAUCUAGUCAGAACCUCUUGUGUUUCAGCUGAUGCUUGUUGUGUCCAGCACCACGGACUCCAGCAAGGAGCCUGGCUCCAUCUUCUUGGUGACCUCCUCAUAGCCGUUACCUGCGGCGGCGUCGCGCCGCCCGCCCCGAUGCGCAGCCGAGGCGCCCGCACCCGGCCCGGCGCAGGUAGGCGGCGGGGUCGCG